GGGAAGAUGGCUCAGUGGUAGAGUGCUUGCCUUGCAUGCAUGAGGCCCUGGGUUCGAUUCCUUAGCAUCACA
rnacentral:tRNA from 1 species